CUUGAAGAUUUUCUUUUAUUAGAGACACAGACUGCUGGAGUAGGAUCUCAUGUUCAUUAGAUUAUUGUGAUGGCUAUAUUCUAACUUGGGACAAAUGGAACAGAUUUCAUGCCGGUCUUGUGGAGGAUAAGUCACUCGGCUGGUGCAGUGCUGCUUCCUGAGAAUGCUACAGAGAAGAAUCUAGAUCUAGCCUGCACACCGUUUCUCCCCUUCAACAGGCACAAGACUCGUAAAUGUGAGGGAAAGAAAAAUCAGGGGUUACAAAGAGCUUUUAUGGCAAUUUCUUCUCUAUCAGGUGGCAACGUGAAAAGCUUUGACAUUAUUAAACCUCCUAAAGCUUAUUCCCAAGUUUAGGACUUAUCUGGUAAGCUGACUAAAGAAUAGUUUCCCUUUUGAUUAGACUCCGUUAUAUAGAAACUUCUCAUCUGAGUUUUAA
rnacentral:lncRNA from 1 species